UAUGUUAAGAGCAAUUUUGUGCAUUAAAAAAAAAAAAAAAACUUCAAAUACCACUUCUGUGGUAUCGCAUUUUUUUACUUUAGUGCUCUGUGAUUUUAAGUGUAUCAAUUUAGUAUCCCAUGAUUUUAUUUUUCUCUUUUUAUUAUUCAUUUCACUAAUUUUUUCGUUAAAUUAGUGACAAAGUUAAAACUAAAGGGUACUAAAGUGAAUAUUCGAUAAAUCUAGCUCGAAUAUCUGAAGCUUUUUUUAUAUAAUUUAAGACGAAAAAAAAAAAAAAUCACAUGAUACUAACUGUGAUACAUAUUAAAUCAAAGAAUAUUAAAAUAAAAAAAUACGAAACCACAAGCACAAUAUUUGAAGUUUACCUUAAAAAAAAAAUUCGAUAGUUUUAAUACUCGUCAACAGCGAAAUGCAGAUGAAAGAUAUGCAAGUA
rnacentral:lncRNA from 1 species